UCAUCCCUGGUACCACUGAAGCGAUAACGUCCUUCACCACCUGGGCAGAGAGAGAGAGAGGGAGAAGAGGAAGGGGUUGCUGAAAGAUGAGGAGAAAUGGAAGAAGAUGGAGUAUUUCAAUAAGCAUUGGAGAGAGCAGUCCCUGCUUCCAAAACAGACUCAACAGACAGUUAAAGAGGACAGGGAGAGGAGGAAGGAACAUUACCUAAAAGAACAGGAGGAGAAAUGACUGGAGGAGAUGAAUCUGGAGGCUGAUUACAUUAGAUUAGAAGUUUAAUUGUCACAUGUACAGGGUUGACGGGCAAAUCAAGAAGUUCAGCACCCAGUUCAUCAACCAGUUUCCAUCUGACUACAACCACGAUCAACAGUUGCUGGGGUGGGCCACGGGCCAGAAGGUAAACCAAGGCCUCGCUGGGUUGUACAUGACCAGCCGGGGGAGCCAGAGAGCCAGCAGAGGGGACCAGAGAGCCAGCAGGGGAUUUCAGAGGUGGCUGAGAAAUCAGUCAACCACCAAACCCAAGAAAAAGGCAGGCAUCUGCAAGAGAAUUAAGACGUGCAUUCCUGACCUCCUGUUGCUCAGAACUGAAACUGGGCGGAGCCACACUGCCACUAGACUACAUUGGUAUUUAAAGUGUCUCCCAAUAAUUCCUCCUCCUCUUCUUCAAGGCCACAUUUCCUCAACAAAACAUUAUAAGCUCCUCAAGUCAGCAGUAUCCUCUUCAUCGAGGCAACAAACAUUCUAAGAAGAUAUCCCCAAAUGGACAUGGUUUAAACAGAAGUAAAGCAAGAAGUGAAGCAAGUCCUCUCCCCAAUCAGUGGCUCCACAGACAAGAGAUUCUCAUCUUUAUCCAAGUAACACAUCGCUGGUCAGUUCCACCACCCUCCUGUCCUAGACCUAGAAGAUAUCUCCCAACUUAACAUGGUGAAACAAUUUGAGAGGCACAGGGAAAGCCAUGGAGCAGCACCCCUUGGAUGAAGAGCCAUUUAGGGGUUAAGUGCCUUGAUCUAGGGCACAACGGCAGGAGAUGGUACCUGGGAGCAAAGUACUGUUCAGCUUUAAUAAAAGCAUGAAUUAAAAAAGCGACAUUGUUUUUACGGUGUUGAUUUUAUUGGUUAUUUAUUAGAAUUUAAACAUACAUCGUGGUAUUAUAUGUUAGACUUCCAGUGAGUCUCCUAACCUUCCAUCAGUUUGCUACAAUGUGUGACUGUUAUGUUAUUUUAGAGAGGGGUCAUAUCUUGCUGGCCCAAUAUUUAUAAGUUAAGAGCGUUGGACCAGCAAAUGGAAAGGUCGCUGGUUCGAAUCCCAGAGCAAACUAGGUAAAAAGUCUGUCGAUGUGCUCUAAAAUGGAAAUGUCGUCUAUAUAUUUAUACAAUAUAUGGUAGACCAUAGGAGAAAUAUCAGAUUGAAAUAGCUUCUCUAAAUGAAGUGGUGGCAGAAUAUGAGGGGGCAACAAUAGAUACAUAGUUAGCUCUCUGACCUACAGAACUUGGGUAGUUCCACCAAUUGAGUACCGUUUAGGUACUAAUUUUAACAUUCUGUAAUAAAGAGCACAUGUAAAGAACAUGUUUUCCCGUCUCAAGAGGUUAAAUCAGGGGUCUUCAACCUUUUCUUCCCCAGGGACCCCUGGCCUGGCAAACCGGUAACCCAGGGACCCCUGGCCUGGCAAACCGGUAACCCAGGGACCCAUGGCCUGGCAAACCGGUAACCCAGGGACCCCGGGCCUGGCAAACCGGUAACCCAGUGACCCUUGGCCUGGCAAACCGGUAACCCAGGGACCCCUGGCCUGGCAAACCGGUAACCCAGCGACCCACAUCAUAUGUUAGCAAAACAAUUGUUUGUGCAACUUCAUGACAUACUAUCUCAUAAUAAUGACUUACUAUCCAAUAAUAAUGACUUAGUAUUUCACAAUAAUUACUUAGUAU
rnacentral:lncRNA from 8 species